ACUGCUCAGUAACACGUGGAUAACCUACCCUUAGGACUGGGAUAUCCCCGGGAAACUGGGGAUAAUACCGGAUAUGUGGAGUUGCCUGGAAUGGUACCUCAUCGACAUCUUGCGCCCCCUAAGGAUGGAUAUGCGUCAGAGUAUGUAGUUGGCGGGGUAAAUGCCCGGCAAUCCAGUAAUCUGUUCGGGUUGUGAGAGCAAGAGCCCGGAGAUGGAACCUGAGACAAGGUUCCAGGCCCUACGGGGCGCAGCAGGCGGGAAACCUCCGCAAUGCACGAAAGUGCGACGGGGGAUAGCCAAGUGCCACUCUUAACGGGGUGGCUUUUGUUAAGUGUAAAAAGCUUUUGGAAUAAGAGUUGGGCAAGUCCGGUGCCAAUCAACACGGUAACCCCGGCAGCUCAAGUGGUGGCCAUUUUUAUUGGCCCUAAAGCGUUCGUAGCCGGUUUGAUAAAUCUCUGGUGAAAUCUCACGGCUUAACCGUGAGAAUUGCCGGAGAUGUUUUUAGCCUUGAGCUCGGGAGCGGCUGGAGGUUUUCCCAGGGUAGGGGUGAAAUCGUAUAAGCCUGGGAGUAUCAGCUGUGGCGAAGGCGUUCAGCUGGACCGGACCUGUCGGUGAGUAACGAAAGGCAGGGGCGCGAACCGGAUUAGAUAUACGGGUAGUCCUGUCCGUAAACGAUGUGGACUUGGUGUUGGGAUGAGUCCGAGCUCAGGCCAGUGCCGAAGGGAAGCAUUUAGUCCACCUCCUGGGAAGUACGGUCGCAAGAAGGAAAGUUAAAGCAAUUGGCGGGGGAGCCA
rnacentral:rRNA from 1 species